rnacentral:rRNA from 1 species
GGCUCAGAAUCAACGCUGGCGGCGUGCCUAACACAUGCAAGUCGAACGAGAAAGUGGAGCAAUCCAUGAGUAAGGUGGCGACCGGGUGAGUAACACGUGACUACCUACCCUUGAGUGGGGGAUAACCUCGGGAAACCGAGGCUAAUACCGCAUAAUAUCGAAGGAUCAAAGGAGUAAUCCGCUUUUGGAGGGGGUCGCGGCUGAUUAGCUAGUUGGUAAGGUAAUGGCUUACCAAGGCGAAGAUCGGUAUCCGGCCUGAGAGGGCGCACGGACACACUGGAACUGAAACACGGUCCAGACUCCUACGGGAGGCAGCAGUGGGGAAUUUUGCGCAAUGGGGGAAACCCUGACGCAGCAACGCCGCGUGGAGGAUGAAGCCCCUUGGGGCGU